UUCAUCACAUCCCAUUUCAUCUUAGGCAUACUGUCAGUACAAAGGGAAUGCCUACAUAUCUGAUUAUGCCGUCUUUUGCAGUGCUUUUUUUCUGAUAAAGGACUAGUAGCACAAAAGGUCUAUCUGCACACAAGCGAAGCUUUAGGCUUAAUUGUAAGCCAAAAUUUUCUUAGCUGGAAUUCAAAUUUUAGAGAGUGUUUCAACAAUGAAGCCUGAAGCCCUAUAAGAUGUAGUGCACCUUUAGCUCCUUUUUCUUGUUGGACGUACAGAGUGCAGUCUGUACUAAUAUACCAGUUCCUUACAUGGAAAUAAUAAUCACAUUUGUUGCCCAAAAAAAAUCCACCUAUUCUGAGGAAGUCUGACAUACUCACCUUUUGCAAGAGUGGUUUCCUAUCCGUGGACUGCCCACACUGACAUCUAAAUAGGCAACACAGAAACAACAGUCUAGGAUAGCAACAGUUUGCAGAAACAACACACAUCACAACAGCUCUUAGUAUCAUUUUGGUUUGGGUUUUCUUCUCCCUCCUUGGUGAGGAUUUAGAUGGAAUAGCACAAGCUACAUGAAGACAUGUGGAAACAGCCCUGAAAGAGAAAAGAAAACUGGACAAAGAUGAAAUCCUGGGGACAAACCACAACUGACAAAAAAAGUAAAGGAAGGAGAAAAUGAAAUAAAGCAGCUCAAAUAGAUUCAGUAAGAUUCAGACAGAUCCACACAAAAGUCUGUUUACUUGCUGCAGGACACUGCUUUAAAGCAACAAAAAAUUUGUUUGGGCUUGCCCCACAGGGCCUGGCAAAGUGUCCUUAUAGGCACAUAGUGUCACUUCCUGAGCCACUGAGGGUGUGACCCAGACCACCUUUCCUGCUCCCCCACCUAAGUACUAAGGCCUUACUGGGCAGAUCACAGGGAGUACCUAAGUUGCAGCUGCAGUUUCUUCCUCCUAUUACAACACAGCAUAACCAGAUGGUCCAUUAGCCCAUAGGCACAGCAAAAGGCUAUGGGCCUGAGCUGUAGGAAAUAUUGCACUAGGAAAGCAGAGGAAAUGUGGGGUUUGAAGCUGGCUUUGUCCAUCCAAUACCAGCAAAAAGUGCACAGGGUGGCACACAACAUCUUCAGCCAGUGUGAGGCUUACCCCUCCAGGUGCCCUCUCCAUGGAACAGGUCAGCUGUUAUCCUUGCAGCCACACUGGGACUUGAUUUUGCAGGGAAAACAAAGUUGGGUGUGGGCACCGGGCACCACUGAAGUGGAAUACACAGGAGAGCUGAGAAGUCAUUCAGGAUUAAAACACUAAAGAUAAGUUCACUUGAAAUGUCAUCUGUACUCUGGAAGAUUGAAUAUGUGGCUUCUCACAUACAAGUUUCAGACAAAACUCUGCUCUGUCAGAUACUGAUGCAAAAAUGUGCAAGAGAAAAGUACCAAAAUAAAUGUAAAAGCUUUCCACUAGCA
rnacentral:lncRNA from 1 species